rnacentral:lncRNA from 1 species
UUAAAACAUAGCAAUUAAACAAAUGAUCAAAUAUAACAGGACUUAAACAGGGGGGAAGAACACAUCUCAUCUUAUCAGUGAUCAACAAGGUGGUGGUUCAUCACAUGAGACAACUCAAGGUACACUGAUACAAUAGCAAUAACCAGAGAAUGGUUUCUUUUACAGACAAAACUUAAACAGGGGGAACAACACAUCUCAUCAUCUCAUAAUGAGCCUCAAAGCCCCCUGGAUGCACGCUACUGACUCCCUUACCACCCUAAUUAAGCUCCCAACUUAUAUUUACAGGUGCCUCACGAUUCACAAUGGCGGGUGAGAUCUUCUUCAGGUUCGUUGGUUUUAUUCCCAGGUAACAAUAGAGCCACAAACUGGCAUGUCGACGACGACGGCGGAUCGGUACUUACAGUUGACACUCAACAAUGCAGAAGAAGAAGGCGGCGACAAUGGCGCGCCGCCGAGAUCACUGGCCUUCCAGGAGCACCCUGAGGCUAUGGAGCCCCUCGGCCGAGAUGCUCCGCUCGACCCUGCCCGUCCUGUUCACCCUGAUCUGGGGAGGGGCCUCCUGGUGGAACGAGACCAUGACCGCCGUCAGGUUGUCGGUGGCGCCCCGCCGGAUCGCCUCCUCCACGAUCUCCUUGCAGCACCGCCGGAGGUCGUUGUGGUCCUGGAGCCUCCGCCGCGCAAAGUCCACCGAGUUCUGGUUGGAGAAGUAGUCCCAGAUGCCGUCGCUGCCGAUGAUGAGGAACUCGUCGUCCUUGGUCAGCGUGAUCAUCUUGAGCUCCGGCUCGGCGCUCAGCGGGCCUCCGGGCUCGCCCAUCUCCUUGAGGCCAUCGAGAUGCCAGUCGCCGAGCGCUCUGGUGACCGCUAGCUGGCCAUUCAGAUAGCCGUCGUCGACGUAGCCGCCUAGGGAUUCAACUCUCUUUCUUUCAUUCAGGCAGCAGGCCCUGUGGUCCUUGGACAUUUCGAUUGCGGCGCCGCGCCGGGAAAGGACAGCUCGGCAAUCGCCAGCAUUUGCGACCAGAAGAGACCUGCACAAGACAUGCAAACAAUCAGCAUUGCUGGUCACUCAAUAACAGAGCAGCCUGCAGCUAUGGAGUACUGAUGCCAACUCUGAUGAGCCAUACUGGCAUUGGCAUAUUAUAACACAAAGCAUGGUAGCAGUAUCACAAGAGGUCCUAGUGCAAGUGCAGCAAUUUAGAGAAAUUUAAUAACCUUAGUCUAAAGCAUGUUGUGAUUUUUUGAAUUAUGAUGCAUAAGUUUGAAAGCAGCUUUAGGAACAAGUCAACCUACUAGUAUUCUUGCUAAUAAAAGAUAAGAUAAUGGGAGUGGUUCAUUAAUUCCAGCUGCAAUAAGUAAACUAGUGCUAAAUAAUCUGUGCUACUACUUGGCUCUGGAUUUUUCAGGGAAAGGGAAGGGGAGAAACGGAAGCAUUCGCGCAGCACGCAAAGUGUGUGCACGUUUUUUCCUUCUUCUUCUUCUUCUCCUCGACUAAUCGACCAUCCAGACCGAGGCAACAAACACGCACGAAUCAAGGACGAAAGGAGAAAGAAAGACCUCUAUUUUGACCUCAUGUUCUCGCGGCGGACAGAAAAACCACUGAUUUCAGCGAGCGAAAUCCGAACACGAACGAACAUCGCAAGAAACAGAAAAGAAAAACAGAGUCAAAUCGAAUGGGCGUAGAACAGGGGAGGGGAGGGGAGGGAGGGGGUUUACCCACCGCGAAAUCUGCCGGCCUCUCGAUCUGCGCGUCCUCGAAUCCCUCCACGCACAUGUCCGGUUCGCCGCCGCCGGUGAGUUCUUCUUCUUCCCGACCUCUCGCUCUGGCUCCCGCGUUCGCCCUGUUACUCUGCCUCACGAUUGGACUCGAACUGCCGCCGCAGGUUCCGGUGAAGAAGGAUUGAAGGAUUGAAGGGGGAGUGGGACGCGACCGAGACCGGGACGGGCUUGGAAUCGGAGCAGAAGAUUCGCGGGAAUAUCUCUCUAAGCUAGCUCUCUGUUUCGAUCGGGGGUAGGAAAAGGAAGGGAAGGCGGAGGCGGAUGUGGGAUUUGCUGCUGGUUUCUUUCUCUUCUCUCUUCUGUCUUCUCUGUUUACGGAGACGGGGAGGGGAGAGAGGGGAGAGGAGGUAUUUAUCCGAGUCGAGGGACGAGAGGCCGGGGGGAACACGUGCUGGUUAGAGCCCGCGGCGGGCCAUGCGUUUUUUCUUUUUAUUUCUUUUUUUUGCCAUCUCGUUUUAUUUAUUUCUGUUUUUUAAUUACCCCGUGGAGCUCGUUUUUCACUCGGGGGAGAAAAAUGUUUGCCACGCUCAUGCUGUCCAAAACAAGAAGAAAACAUGUUUACCGCGCUCGUUUAUUUUUUUUAUCUAGAGAAGAUGAUUGGUUAGAGCGUAUGGUUUUUGUGCGUAUGGCCACCUAUCUAUGGGUUUCUUAAUUGUGAAGUGAAAUAGGUGUACAAGUUAGAUUAAAUUUGGUUAAUUCUCGCCUAGACCAGAAUUAGCAUAUUCGAAGAAAGAUGUAUUUACGUGCGCGUGUCAUUCAUAAUACCCUAAAUGUAUGUUAAAGAUGAAAAGAGUAUAGAAGCUGUCCACGACAUCGCAUUACGAAUGGUGCCGCCAAGCAUCCACCGGACUAAAAGUAGAUACUGGAUAAACCCUCCACACAAACAACCUUCUAAAGAAGCACCCACAGAUCACCGCAUAACAUGCCCGCCGUGCACGAGGCAUUGCCUUCCUCAUCACUUGAUUGGGCAGGUGGGCUUCAAGAGGAGAUGCAUUGUUGCAGACGGUGUCGUUUCGAUGCCUCCAAAUGUCACAAAUAACGUUCGGUGCAAAGAAACAAAAAUCCUCGGAAGGAUGAGGAUGACCGACGUGGAGUAGUAAUCCUUUCGUGGGUGCCGUCUAGGAUGUGAGAACAGUCUCU